UACAGAGGAUGCAAGCGUUGUCCGGAAUUAUUGGGCGUAAAGAGCUCGUAGGCGGUCUGUUACGUCUGCUGUGAAAACCCGGGGCUUAACCCUGGGCUUGCAGUGGAUACGGGCAGACUAGAGGCAGGUAGGGGAGAAUGGAAUUCCCGGUGUAGCGGUGAAAUGCGCAGAUAUCGGGAGGAACACCGGUGGCGAAGGCGGUUCUCUGGGCCUGACCUGACGCUGAGGAGCGAAAGCGUGGGGAGCGAACAGG
rnacentral:rRNA from 1 species